rnacentral:rRNA from 1 species
CCUACGGGUGGCAGCAGUGAGGAAUAUUGGUCAAUGGGCGAGAGCCUGAACCAGCCAAGUCGCGUGAAGGAUGAAGGAUCUAUGGUUUGUAAACUGCUUUUAUAUGGGAAUAAAGUGAGGAACGUGUACGUUUUUGUAUGUACCAUAUGAAUAAGGAUCGGCUAACUCCGUGCCAGCAGCCGCGGUAAUACGGAGGGUGCGAGCGUUAUCCGGAUUUAGUGGGUUUAAAGGGUGCGUAGGUGGUUACUUAAGUCAGCGGUGAAAGUUUGUGGCUCAACCAUAAAAUUGCCGUUGAAACUGUUUGUCUUGAUUAUAUUUGAGGUAGGCGGAAUUCGUGGUGUAGCGGU